rnacentral:lncRNA from 1 species
AUGUUUCAUCUACAGAAUAUCGUUGCCUUCAUAAUAAUCUCUGCCUCUAUUUGUCAGGCUCAAGCUGGUGGUCAACGGGCAUCUUCAGAUACAGCUAAAGUCACAUUACAGCCGUGGCUGGUGGGACUCACAGCAGUUGUUGUUUUUCUCUUUAUUGUCUUCGUCCUCCUCAUCGUGCAAAGACUCUUUUUCAAGAAAAACAAAGAUGAGCUAGAAGAAAGGCAUUCAUUUUAUGAAAACAAAGCAGCGGAUCUGGAGGCAAAUGAGGAGACCAAGCAGACCACUUUCUAAUGAGAAGAACAGAUGAUCACAGUCCUGCAGCACACAAAUCUUUCUCUCUCUGGAAAUUAUGCCACAACUUUGUGCAGACUAAUUAUAAUACUAUCUUAUGUAAUAUAUCUUUUUAACAUUAAUUUUGGUCUAAGUUUUGUUUUUGUCUUCAUAAGUAUUGUUCCUCACAUCAUCCACUAGAUGGAGCAGACUUCACCUAGUCACAGCUUUAAACUAAAGUUAAAAUAAAAAAAGGUUCAAAUAAAGUGGUGCUCUCUCUCUCUCUUUUAAUUAAUUUAGAUUUUUUUUGGCAUAUUCUCAAUACUCGUUUGACUACUUUGCUGUAACUGUAACUUGUGUAAGGUUUAUCAUUAGGGUAGUGAGAACAUUGGAAUAGAAGAGCACACGCUCAGUGAUUCACAUCAUGCACAUAAUGCUCUGAUUUACUGGCUUUUGACUUGCAUGACAUGUCUGGGUUCUGCAUGCAUAUAUGCUAAAUGGACAUGGGUAUGAGAUCCAUUACUCAUUUUGACUGGCAGUUUGGACAUGUUAAAUGCUUCCAGUCAAAUGAUGUAACACAGUUUUGCUUUGAAACCAUUUGCUCGUCUCGGGGGAUUAUAUGAUGAAAAUAUCAUUUGCAGAAAAAAUGGCCAGGUGUUCAAAUGUGUUAAUAAUGGAGACCAUUAUAGUACAGCGUUGAAGUUAAAGUAGACUUUAGUCUGGCGUUGCCUAAAUGAACAAUCUGAUUAGUAAGACUAUUGAGCUGUUAGUGAUGAUGUAACGCAUGCUCUUUAUAUGGGUUAAAGGGGAACGCUUCCAGUUUUACACUCUUAAUGUGAACCUAAGAACUGCUGGUAUUUCAUAACAUUUUAAUUAGACAGAUGAUACUGUUGCCCUGGCUGCAUGUGCUUCUCAAGGUUUCCCAUACAUGGGAAACAGUUUAGCUGAAACAGUGCUGAUGAGUGACAGUAACUAAGCUUACAGUCAGCAGCAAUAAGUGAAGCAUGAAACCAGAGAGAGAGAGAGAGAGAGAGAGAGAGAG